UACGUAGGGUGCGAGCGUUGUCCGGAAUUAUUGGGCGUAAAGGGCUCGUAGGCGGUCUGUCGCGUCGAAAGUGAAAACCCAGGGCUUAACCCUGGGCCUGCUUCCGAUACGGGCAGACUAGAGGUAUGCAGGGGAGAACGGAAUUCCUGGUGUAGCGGUGAAGUGCGCAGAUAUCAGGAGGAACACCGGUGGCGAAGGCGGAUCUCUGGGCCAUUACUGACGCUGAGGAGCGAAAGCGUGGGGAGCGAACAGG
rnacentral:rRNA from 1 species